rnacentral:rRNA from 1 species
UACAGAGGGUGCAAGCGUUAAUCGGAAUUACUGGGCGUAAAGCGCGCGUAGGCGGUCGGGUCAGUCGGUUGUGAAAUCCCCGGGCUUAACCUGGGAAUUGCAGUCGCUACUGCCCGGCUAGAGUGUGGAAGAGGGAAGCGGAAUUUCCGGUGUAGCGGCGAAAUGCGUAGAUAUCGGAAGGAACACCAGUGGCGAAGGCGGCUUCCUGGUACAACACUGACGCUGAGGCGCGAAAGCCUGGCUAGCGAUCAGC